AUAUGUUUAACUCAGUUCUGUCAAUAAAAAUGUGCACAAUAACAAACCUUACAUAGAGAUCUCUAUAACUAAAUGUCUGCCUAAAACAAAACUAGCCUCUGAAAUCAAGAAAUCACAACGUUAUGCAAGUCCUUUUACAUGGUCCAUAAUUACAUUUAGGGGAUCCACACACUCUUUUAAAUUGCAAGUAAAAUUUUGUGUGCAAAAGUAUUUUUUCCCUCAAGAGUCCAUUGCUUCCUUUAUUUCUCAAAGGCCUCUGAUCUCUCCCCAAAUUAAGAACAAAUGGUUAAAGGGACUAAAGGAAUGAGUGACCCUGAGUAGGGUAUUAUGAUAUGGACUUGUUGCUUUACCUUUAGCUCCCAGAAUUAUCCUCUCUUGCAGGUCCUCAGCCUCAGCAGUAUGCUUUUUGCUGUUCAUUGAGAUUAAUUUUUGUUUUUGUUUUCCAAAUGACUUCUUCAUUUCUCUAACAGAACCCUCCUUGCCAGGAACAUUCACAGGUAAUACUUCAAAAUGAAAAUAUCUAUUCUCCUUGAAGAUCUUCCUAACUAUGCACUAAUAAACAGCAGCAC
rnacentral:lncRNA from 1 species